rnacentral:misc_RNA from 1 species
AACGCAAAUUGCACUCGAGGCUCCGGCCAAGAGUAUGUCUGCCUCAGCGUCGGUUUUACACCAUCGCCUCCAACAGGCGGAGCUGGCUGUCCCGGUCCCUUCGGCCGGGUCCGCUGAAGAACAGAGGCUUGAGCAAGGACCCAUAAGGGAUAACAGUAUGGUAGGUGACCCGUCAGGGAUCGCAUGCCGCUGUCGGCCCGGGACUUUGCUGGGAGCCGGUAGGAGCGCGCGGUAAGCCGACCGGCUGCCGAGCGGCAUCAACAUAUUCGACCUGAGUUCAGGCAAGGGCACCCGCUGAACUUAA